rnacentral:rRNA from 7 species
AAAUUGAAGAGUUUGAUCAUGGCUCAGAUUGAACGCUGGCGGCAGGCCUAACACAUGCAAGUCGAACGGUAACAGGAAGCAGCUUGCUGCUUUGCUGACGAGUGGCGGACGGGUGAGUAAUGUCUGGGAAACUGCCUGAUGGAGGGGGAUAACUACUGGAAACGGUGGCUAAUACCGCAUAACGUCGCAAGACC